rnacentral:rRNA from 1 species
UACGAAGAGGGCUAGCGUUGCUCGGAAUCACUGGGCGUAAAGGGUGCGUAGGCGGGUCUUUAAGUCAGGGGUGAAAUCCUGGAGCUCAACUCCAGAACUGCCUUUGAUACUGAGGAUCUUGAGUUCGGGAGAGGUGAGUGGAACUGCGAGUGUAGAGGUGAAAUUCGUAGAUAUUCGCAAGAACACCAGUGGCGAAGGCGGCUCACUGGCCCGGUACUGACGCUGAGGCGCGAAAGCGUGGGGAGCAAACAGG